CUACCCUGAUAGCAAAAGACUCCAGGGCGGAUUCGCCCUCAAGUCGCCAGCUCCGCUAUGCUGUCAGAAUCAGUUUGGCUAUUCGCAAACAAUAUGCCCCGCCUCCGAACGGCGGACUGUCAGUUCGUGGGCUCGCAACAGACCCUGGGCGGAUGCGUUGAUCUAACGCGCCCAUUUCAACGGUCGCGGUCACAGAGUGUAGUCGCCAGAAUGAAGCAGCAGGAGCCCGCAGAUCGGAAAACGCUUACAGUUCAUCCAAGUGCCUUGGAGGCCAUUUCACCUUUUUCAACCAUUUGGCUUACAGUUCGUUCAAGUGCUGCCAAUUUCUUGGGGGCCAUUUCACCUUUAUCAACCAUUUGAGUAAUCUUACAGUUAAUUCAGGUGUUGCCAGUCUGUUGGACCAUUUCAGAAUUGUUGUUGGAGUCAUCUUACUAUUUCAACUGCUAGAGUAAAGUGCUGUGAGAAAGAACCAUGUCUCCCAUGCCGCCACUGAUGAUUCAUCUAUUCAUUCAUUUUCUUUUCGGCUUAGUCUCUUUAUUAAUCCGCGGUCGCCACAGCGGAAUGAACCACCAACUUAUCCAGCAUAUGUUUUA